rnacentral:rRNA from 1 species
UACGAAGGGGGCUAGCGUUGCUCGGAAUCACUGGGCUUAAAGCGUGUGUAGGCGGACCGUUAAGUACCUUGUGAAAUCCCCCGGCUCAACCGGGGAACGGCUGGGUAUACUGGCGGUCUUGAGCCAUCCAGGGGCAGUCGGAACAGACGGUGGAGCGGUGAAAUGCGUAGAUAUCGUCUGGAACGCCGAAGGUGAAAACAGACUGCUGGGGAUGAGCUGACGCUGAGACACGAAAGCCAGGGGAGCCGGAACGGG